rnacentral:rRNA from 1 species
UAAUAAGCUAUUAAGGGCUAAUGGUGGAUGCCUAGACUGUAAGAGGCGAUGAAAGACGUAUUAGGCUGCGAUAAGCCUCGGGGAGCUGCCAAAGAGCUUUGAUCCGGGGAUUUCUGAAUGGGGCAACCCAAUAUAAUGAGAAUUAUAUUACCCUACGGGGAGCGAACCUAGUGAAGUGAAACAUCUCAGUAGCUAGAGGAAGAGAAAUCAAACGAGAUUCCCAAAGUAGCGGCGAGCGAAAUGGGAUUAGGACAAACCCAAUGCUUGCAUUGGGGGUUGUAGGACCAUGAUAUGAGACUAAAGAGGAUAGAUGAAAUACUUGGAAAAGUGUAGCAUAGAAGGUGAAACUCCUGUAAUUAAAAUUCUCAAUAGCUCUAAUGGUAUCCUGAGUAGGUCGGAACACGUGAUAUUUUGACUGAAGCCGGGGGGACCACCCUCCAAUCCUAAAUACUACUUACAGAUCGAUAGUGAAC